rnacentral:snoRNA from 1 species
UAACCAUAGUGAGGGCAUUGAAUGAACAACAUUUUGAACCUUUCUCAUGCCUCAUAGAACGGCUCGUCUUUAGCUUACGAGAAAUUUGCAAUUUUUCUUCUUAAUUCA